UGGGGAAUUUUGGACAAUGGGCGAAAGCCUGAUCCAGCAAUGCCGCGUGUGUGAAGAAGGCCUUCGGGUUGUAAAGCACUUUUGUCCGGAAAGAAAUCCUUGGCUCUAAUACAGUCGGGGGAUGACGGUACCGGAAGAAUAAGCACCGGCUAACUACGUGCCAGCAGCCGCGGUAAUACGUAGGGUGCAAGCGUUAAUCGGAAUUACUGGGCGUAAAGCGUGCGCAGGCGGUUUGCUAAGACCGAUGUGAAAUCCCCGGGCUCAACCUGGGAACUGCAUUGGUGACUGGCAGGCUAGAGUAUGGCAGAGGGGGGUAGAAUUCCACGUGUAGCAGUGAAAUGCGUAGAGAUGUGGAGGAAUACCGAUGGCGAAGGCAGCCCCCUGGGGCCAAAUACUGACGCUCAUGCACGAAAAGCGUGGGGGAGCAAAACAGGAUUAGAUACCCUGGUAGUCCACGCCCUAAAACGAUGUCAACUAGUUGUUGGGGAUUCAUUUCCUUAGUAACGUAGCUAACGCGUGAAGUUGACCGCCUGGGGGAGUACGGUCGCAAAGAUUAAAAACUUAAA
rnacentral:rRNA from 1 species